GUGCGCCGAGGCGGCUGUGACACCAUGGUUUCCAGAGUGGUGCUCCUGGUCUACUCAUCCAACACCCAAGUACAGCCUGGUCUGCUGCUCUCUUCCGAUAGAAAGUCUCAAGCAACUUGCAGGCAAAAGAAGAGGAGGGAGACGAUGUAACUGGACCUGGAGGCCAGCUCUUCUGAAGAGGUGACCCUUAGGGACCAUCGCAUCAGCCUCAGUACCCUUGGCAGCUCUACAGAGGUAUUCCACCUUCACACAGAGGGGCAGGCUGGAGAGGGUGAGAGAAAUGACUCUCACAGCAGGACUGAAAUUCACAGCACUAAGGUGCUGGACCACCCAAACAUCAUCAAGCUGUCCCACAUCAUCGAAACCAGAGAACAUGCCUAUAUGGUGAUGAAACAUGCUGCCGAGGGAGAUCUGGUGAGCCAUAUUGAGGAGGUGGGCUGUCUGCAGGAAGAAGAGACCCACCGCAUCUUCACACAGAUGGUGUGUGAAGUUAACUACUGCCAUGAGAAUAGUAUUGCACAGAGUGACAUCAAACUACUGCCAAGAGAACAGUCUUGUACAUGGGGACAUCAAACCAGACAACAUUCUGAUGGAUGGCAAAGAGUCAGCCUUGGGCAGGAGUUCACAGGUGGUGGUAUAGUGAGACCUGAUAUCCUAUGCAUUAUGUGUGACAGGAGCGCAAGAACCCAAUCUGCUGCUGGGUGGAGAGCAGGGACAACUGGAACUGUCUCUGUAACACUUGUGCUCUAUCAGGCUUCAAACUUCUAGCUUGUGGCUCUUGAGAGGGAGGAGGGAGGCGGCAGGCAUCUCCUUUUCUCUCUUCAUUUGCUGUGACUCUAGACAUGGGCAAAGGGGAGCCUGGGAGGCGAGAGCUGCCGUGGCAUGAGUGUUCGGCCACAGCUGUGACCUGGCAAAUGACAUUCCACUGACCAGGUUGUUGGCUAGUAAUUGGCGAAGGCCCAGAGACUUAGACAAGCAAGAGUGUGUGUCUGGUGCAUGCUGGGAACAUAAUUUUAACAGUAGCAUUAUUUCCUAUAACCUGUAAGACUGCUUAUUAGUUCUGGUCACUUUAUUUACUUUUGGUUUGUUUAAUGAGGUUUCUGGGGUUUUCAACAUACAGACUCAUGCCCUCCAUGAAUGUAGCUUCUAUUUGCAGUCCCAGUGGGAUGAGCAACCAGCCUUCCUUCCUUCCUUCCUUCCCUCCUUCCUUCCUUCCCUCCCUCCCUCUCUUCCUCCUCUGCACUUACCCUCCCCUCCUCUUUCUUUUCUCUUGUUUGCUUCUCCUCCCUCCCUCUCCUGGACUGGAGAGCAUAGUUUUCACGCUCUCCCUUUAUGUCAGUGAGCUAAGUGCCCACACUCACUCCCAACACUGGGGAAGCUGACGUUCAGGAACGCUCACAUUCAAGGCCCACCUGGGUUACACUAAUAAAAGAACCCUUGUCAAAUACUUGUUCUUUUGUUAAGGUUGUCAGCCUUCCCCCUCAACAACAAUGUCUAGGUUGUUCAUGUUUAGAGUGCUUACUGAUGUGGUUAGCCUUGCAGUUCUUUCUGACAUUUUCUGUUUCAUCCCCCCUCUUCCUGCUUCCUUUAGUACUAUAUAACUAUUUUAUUAAGUCAUAUUAUUUGCUAGUUACUAGAUGCUCUAUUGAUGUACACAAACUAAUUUCGCAUUAAUAGUAACCUAGCAUUGAUAAAACAGAGAAAGUGUUCCAACACAGCUGUUAGCUUUACCUCCUCUGCGUUGUAAUGGCCAUUUUUGCCAUUUUUAUUACAUAGCUAUAAUGGAAACCCAUCGAUACAUUGUUUUAAUACUUUAUAUGACAACAAGCCCUCCUGAGUGUGUUCAUUUCUAUGCAGACUUUAUUACCUCUGUAUUUACCACUUAUAUGUUGGAAUUUGAUUUACCACCUGGUAUGAUUCACUUCCAUACUGAAAGAAUUUCUUUAGUUCUUAUUAUGAGACGGUCUUGCUAACCAUAAAUUCUUUAUUUGCUAGUGCUUUUAUGCUCACUUCUUGAUUGAAGGGUAAUUUGACUGUUUACAGAAUUCUUCUGCUAUGUUGAGUGUUGAGACUGUUUAGUAAAUUUUAAUGAACACAAUUACCUAGUUUUCAGCGGCAGAAUUUCUAAUUGGUUCUUAGAGUUUCUUUUAUUUUUCUGGCCUCGAUUUUACUAUUAUCAUUACUGUUGUUAUGUAGCAAUUUUUCUACAGUUAGAUAUUCUUCACCAAAAUGGCUGUUCUUGCUGACACCAGGUAACCUUCCCCUCUGCCCCAGUGCUAGGUUACAGACAUGUGUGGCUAUGUCAAGAGUUUUACAUGGGUGGUGGGGAUCCAAACUCAGGUCUUUUAAACAUACACAUUGGGUUCUCUUAUCCACUAA